rnacentral:misc_RNA from 1 species
UUGAUAUUUGUCGAUCUAUAAGAAAUCUAUAUUGCUGCACAAGGAAGUUUUUAGAAUUAGUAUUGUCGGUGAUAACUAGUCAUCAAAAUCUCAUCAAAUCAGUACACACAAAAUCGCAAACCUCCCAUAUUUCUAUUUUCAAUACUACUACUUUAUUAUUAUCUUUUUUUGUUAAAAUGUUACAUUUACACCUAUUUCAAGAUUUA